UCCAGGGUAGCCUUGUGUACAUGGCAUCUGCCCGGUAAGCGGAACACUGUGUGUUCGAUUCCCAUCCCUGAAC
rnacentral:tRNA from 1 species